rnacentral:rRNA from 1 species
GUGCCAGCCGCCGCGGUAAUACGAAGGUGGCAAGCGUUACUCGGAAUUACUAGGCGUAAAGGGCAGGUAGGUGGUUUGGUAAGUCUAUUGUGAAAGCUCCCGGCUUAACUGGGAGAGGUCAAUAGAUACUGCUGAACUUGAGUAUAGGAGAGGGUACUGGAAUUCCCGGUGUAGCGGUGAAAUGCGCAGAGAUCGGGAGGAACACCAAUGGCGAAAGCAGGUACCUGGACUAUUACUGACACUAAGCUGCGAAAGCUAGGGGAGCAAACAGGAUUAGAAACCCUGGUAGUCC